rnacentral:rRNA from 1 species
AUGAUCUAUGUGCACCUCUGGUGUCUCGUCUUUGCAGCCACACAUAGGAAGAGAUCAUAUCACGAUGCACUUAAAUACCGUUGCCAAUUCUAUGGUGCCGUGUUUUGGUUCCAGGAGAGAUGCAAGGCUGAAUCCUCUGUGAUUGAGCGCCGUAUCCUAUACAGCUUGUGCUGUAAGGGUGACAGCAGGUCGGCUUCCUCUCGCCGCUCUGAACUGCAGGACUCGCUGGAUGGAUGUGAAUGUGAGCAACCAAACUAUCAGGUUAGAUUUUUGUGGCAAUAUCACUAUGAGGAAGCCGACAACCUGGAUUGCCAAUUACCUCCGCAGGGUGCCCCAUUUUUUGAUGUCAUGAUUAUCCGCGUUCGAGAACCGGUGGAUCAUUUUGUAACUUAUGCAGGUUAUGUGCACAUUGAGAGUUUCUUCUGCUCGAGGCAGCCGUCGUCCACAUGCUCCUCCUAA